CAUACUGUCAUGUGCGUCGGAAACUGUUGGAACGUACGAGCAUCUAUAGCGUCAGUGAUAACUCGGGUGUGUCGCUUGUGAGUGUUCUUGGAAACUCAUCCGGAAGUGACUAUAUGCAUUACUAUAGGUGCAGUUGUAACUUGGAAGUUAGACGUAUACUACCCACCGACUCUCUUUCACCGAAUUUCUUCCGCCUUGAAUGAAGCAGAAGACACAGCUUCUCGCCAGGACCAUCGCAAAAGUGUUUCAGAUAUCUAUGUAGUACAAGGACUGUGCUGCCUGAAGAACACGGCCUGGAACCUGUCAAGUUACCUGGCAUUUUUCUUCCAGGCUCGUUGCGUAUACGAAUCUGCGCCGGGCGUGCUUUGUCGUCAUUACACAGCCAGGUUUCUCAGAGCAACAUACCCGGGCUGUGCACGAACUGGACCACUGACGCAGGAGCUCCUGCUCGCCUUGCGAAAGGGGACUGGGUGUUCAAGUAUAAGUGUGGGACGCAUUACCCUGAUACGGUGAUUGUGAGCUACGGUACAUUAUGAUUUACAGAGUAUUCGUGCAACUGUUAUUACAAUGAAGGUGCUUAAAGAUACACUGCGCUGGCAAAACGGCGGCACACAAGAGCCCCACAUCGUUGACACAUACAACACACUCGUGUAUGUAACAUAGGCAGCCAAAACGACGACCAAGACGAGAGAAUAGACACAGACAACACCACUGCGAGUGGUGUUGUCUAUUCAGUUCAUGACUUCGGAGAGCUGCAAGCCGGAUAACAACACGUGGACGAGGACACUUAGUCUGGCCAAAUAAUAAUGCUGUACAUUAUGUAUUGCACACUGUAAGAUGGGACAAGACAGAAUGCUUGCCCACAUCACAUUUAAAAAAUAGACGCACUGUAACAACACAGCAUAGCAAUACUGUAUAGUCUAAGAACCGCUAGAUGUAGAUGAAGUGCUGUUACAGCACUUAAUCCCGCAUUCAUGAGACGCUAGUAGAAAUCUCGAUAGUACAGCACUGCCUGUACUAUCGACAUUUCUACUAGCGUCCCGUGAAUGCGAUUAUCGGCUUACUCAGUUUCAUCACUAACCGCUCGCGCCGAAAAUCGUGAGGCGAAAAUUCUUGCGCAAAAAUGAUUUGCUGUUGAAAUGUUGUUCUGCUACCUAAUGUAUUUCAUUUAUCUCGAGUCUGACUCUGAUGAUUUUCGGGCUCAGGGGAUUCCUGUGAACGUACACGGUGCUUCGAGCCGAAAGCAUGGCAAAAAAGCGUUGUGGAUCCAGAAUAAAGACAUUAUACAAUUUUUUUUUUCAACCCGAAUACAUUUUUAAUCCAAAGGACGACAUGGUUAAUUCAUAGCUUUGGUAAUACAUGACAACACCCUGUUUAUCAUGCAUUUGUAAGCAAAUCGUGUCAAUGAAGCACCUAUACGUUCAUAUUGCACGCUUGUACAAAACAAACACGAUCACGAU